AUGAGGUUCCCUGCUCAGCUCCUGGGGCUGCUGAUGUUCUGGAUCUCUGGAUCCAGUGGGGAUGUUGUGUUGACUCAGACUCCACUCACCCUGCCUGUCACUCCUGGAGAGCCGGCCUCCAUCUCCUGUAGGGCUAGUCAGAGCCUCCUACAUAGUAAUGGAUACACCUAUUUGAGUUGGUUUCUACAGAAGCCAGGCCAGGCUCCUCAACACCUGAUCUAUUUGGUUUCCAACCGGGGUUCUGGAGUCCCAGACAGGUUCAGUGGCAGUGGGUCAGGGACAGAUUUCACACUCAAAAUCAGCAGGGUGGAGGCUGAGGAUAUUGGGGUUUAUUACUGCAUGCAAGCUACACAUGCUCCACCCACAGUGAUACAGCCCCUAACAUAA